CUUUCUUCCCCCCAAAACCAACAUUUAUUAACAUUAAUGCUGUCACAAUACACCAUGAUGAAUUGUAAUAUAAGGAAUUCUGAAUUCCUUGGUCAAUAUUACAUUUUGGUUUGCCAAAUGUUUCAGAAUUUCUUUGUGAACAUGUGACAAAUACACAACAGUUAUUCAUUGUUUAGCUGCAGGUGACAGUUUGGGGAAAACAAUUACCUUACUGAUGAGGCUGCUUUCUAUGAUGCAGGUGAAAACAUGGGCAAAACUG
rnacentral:misc_RNA from 1 species